rnacentral:lncRNA from 1 species
CCGGUGCACUACAUGGUUCAGACGCAUAUUCAAACCCUUUUCUUGAUUUCCUGAUCACAUUUCUGUACGUCGCCGCAAACGGCCCGUUCGGUUUAGAGAUGCCGUCGCUUUUACUCCUGACUAAUCCGGUCUUCGCCAGAUAUGCUAGUGCGCGAUGAGGAGGCCUUCCGACUCGGGGAAAAUAUCCUGGUCUUUGUCCCUCGUUGCGUGCCCUCGAAAAAUGGGCCAGUGGUGUAUACGUCCUCCAAACAAUCUUGUUCUCUGCUUUAACACUGUGACAUUGGGCUGUGGUCAAUCCUUCAGUCUUUAUGGCAGUCGGGGACGCUAGUGGUUCAUGCGAAUAUAGUGCAUACCCGUUACCGUUGCAAAUGUCAGCUCCUAAACGUUCCCUCUGCUGCAGUCUGAAUAUUUCUUGCUUGACCCAAGGUGUGCUCGGGGGGACGUCCAGGGGGGUUGCUGCCCAGGAAGUCAUCUGAGUGACAUAUUGCUGUUUGAGUCGCUUCCGUCGUUCCUUCUCAGGUAUGAGAGGAGGGCGCCAGUUUUUUGCAGCCUCGAACGUAUCCCUUACGAUCUGUUGCAUGUCCUCAAUGGCUACAGGAGGUUCCCCCAUUUUCAGCUUAUUCGCUAAGCUCUCAUAGUCUAUCCAGACGACAGCGUCAAUGUUCUUCAUAAUUGCCCAAGCCUCUAUGCGUUGCAGAAACUGCAUGUGCUCCAAGCAGCACCUGUGUCUGCGAGCUUUCAUGUUGAUGUACCCGACUGCCUCGGCGAAUCCAUACCCG